rnacentral:rRNA from 1 species
UACGGAGGGUGCAAACGUUGCUCGGAAUCAUUGGGCGUAAAGCGCACGUAGGCGGUUCGCUAUGUCGGAUGUGAAAGCCUCGGGCUUAACCCGAGAAGGGCAUCCGGAACUGGCGAGCUUGAGUACGGAAGAGGGUCUCGGAAUUCCCGGUGUAGAGGUGAAAUUCGUAGAUAUCGGGAGGAACACCAGUGGCGAAGGCGGAGACCUGGGCCGAUACUGACGCUGAGGUGCGAAAGCGUGGGGAGCAAACAGG